UACAGAGGGUGCGAGCGUUGUCCGGAAUCACUGGGCGUAAAGGGCGCGUAGGUGGCUCGUUAAGCGUGUGGUGAAAGCCUGGGGCUCAACCCCAGGUCUGCCAUGCGAACUGGCAAGCUUGAGCAUAGUAGAGGCGGGUGGAAUUCCGGGUGUAGCGGUGGAAUGCGUAGAUAUCCGGAAGAACACCGGUGGCGAAGGCGGCCCGCUGGGCUAUUGCUGACACUGAACCGCGACAGCGUGGGGAGCAAACAGG
rnacentral:rRNA from 1 species